rnacentral:rRNA from 1 species
GACGAACCGUGCGAACGUUAUUCGGAAUCACUGGGCUUAAAGCGCGUGUAGGCGGGAUUGCACGUCGGUCGCUGAAAGCCCCCGGCUCAACCGGGGAAGGGGCGCCGAUACGACCGUCCUGGAGGGACGUAGGGGGACCUGGAACUUCCGGUGGAGCGGUGAAAUGCGUUGAGAUCGGAAGGAACGCCCGUGGCGAAAGCGAGGUCCUGGACGUUUACUGACGCUGAGACGCGAAAGCCAGGGGAGCGAACGGG